GCUGGGUACAGUGGCCCACUCCUGUGAUCACAGCUACUUGGGAGGCUGAGGCAGGAGGAUUGAUGGAGACCAGAAGUUUAGGGCAACAUAGCAAGACCCUGUUUCAA
rnacentral:sRNA from 1 species